AUUAUUCCAAAAUUCCAAAACAAAACCAUCUCUUCUCCAAAAACUCUUUCCCUUAAACUUCAUGGAAGAAGAAUACGGAAGUUGGAGUUAGGGUUCAAAAAUAAAGAUUUUAUAAUCAAAUUCAUUGGAUUUCAUUGCUAAGGGUCGAAAGGCUUUCUCACCUAUAGAAUCUAUACGAAGACAUGGACGGUGAAAGGCUAUUCUCAAGCAUGAUCUACGAGCUAUCUAAUGUAUUAUGUUGGAUUGAGUGUUAAUAAAUUCUUCCAUGAUUAUGAUCUUAAUUCAAGACAUAAUGUGAACUCUGUGGGAAUAAACGCUUAGCACGAAAUGCAUAUUUUAUAUGAGAUGAGAGCUUUUACUCUACUUGAGUCCGGUUUCCCAAUGGGUUCCUCAUACGCUAGUUGAUUUCGGUUUCCAAAGAAUGUUUCAUGAGAUGAGUAGCUUGCAUCAUAGUUGAUUCCGGAUUAAAAUUGAAAUUUCCUUAUCUCAUAAACUAGUGGAUCCACCUAAGCUAAGAAUAUGAUUCUACCAUAGGCAAGUAAGAUAACUCUUUUCGGUGUAGGGUAGAUACUUGAUUCUAUGUAUAGCUCACAUGGUA